UACGUAGGGCGCAAGCGUUGUCCGGAAUUAUUGGGCGUAAAGAGCUCGUAGGCGGCCUGUUACGUCUGCUGUGAAAUCCCGGGGCUUAACCCCGGGCGUGCAGUGGAUACGGGCAGGCUGGAGGCAGGCAGGGGAGAACGGAAUUCCCGGUGUAGCGGUAGAAAUGCGCAGAUAUCAGGAAGAACACCCGUGGCUAAGGCGGCUCUCUAGUACGGUAUACUGAGACGCGAAAGCGUGGGGAGCGAACAGG
rnacentral:rRNA from 1 species